AAAUGCCAUUUGGUAUCUGACACCUGGUCAUUUUUUUGUGAUUUUGUGUCUCGAAACGUGGCAGAAAAUGAGGGGGAAUGGAACUUUGCGACACUGGCUGCUCCUAAUGAGCCUCUGGUUACUAUAUACCCAUUUAUAUCA
rnacentral:snoRNA from 1 species